rnacentral:lncRNA from 1 species
CCAUAGUCUGGGGCCAGCUGCCGAAAAGGCCCUUUGUCUACAAGCUGUCCCUCUUACCUCCUUGAGGGAGGGCUCAAGGCUAGAUCUUAACUGCCAGAUAGGUUCAUAGGGAAGGAGGCAGUCCUUCAGGUAUCCAGGGCCCAAGCUGUUUAGGGCUUUAUACAUCAAAACAAGCACUUUGAAUUGGGCCCGGGCAGCAACUGGUAGCCAAUGUAAUUUAAACAGAAUCGGCUUGAUGUGUCCCGUAAUUAAACAAAAAUGAAUUGUUUUCUCUUUUUCCCUGUAUUUUAAUUGUUCCAAGCCACCCAGAGACCUUUGCGUAAUGUGGGCAGCACAUCAGUUAAAUGAAUAAAAUAAAUAAUAAAUAAAAUCUAUUUAGGUCAAUCCAUAUAACUUUCGGUACAUGAACCAUAUAUUUUGAUAUUUUUUUGUUCUCUUCCUGUUGUGCGUUAUUUUAUCCCACAGGCAGCCUUAGCAACAAAACACAUCAUUCUAUAGAAAUGAAAGUUUGCUAUGAAACUACAUAUUGAAUGCUGGACAAAAGACCUCAUGGAUCUGGUUACAAAGGGAAAAAAAAACAUUUUAACACACCAGUUCAAAAACUGAAUAGUUAUUUAUUGUUCCAGAAGUACAUUGCUCUUUUAUACAUAUUUAAUAAAUGAUACAGGAUUUUACACAUGUUCAGUAUUUAACUUUAUUUUAAGGACUUUUCUCCAUGCCCCCUCCCUCACCCCAAACACACACAAAGGAUUCCGCUACAGGAUUGCUCAUUUUGUUUCUUUUUUUCAAAUGCUGCAUACAAAGAGGAUAAAACAGAUAAGAAAUCAAAAAAGGAAAAGAGAAUUGAAAACAGAAGUGAAAAAUGAAAGACAGAGGAGGAAAAGUGGGAAGAGGAAAACAACGGGAAACAUGCAUCCAUUCGGUCCAACAUGCCAUCGAGUGAGAGGAGGCAGCAACAAUCCUGUCUGCAUUUCCACAUUGGCAAAGGCACCUGGCGUCUGGUUUAUAUUUAUUUUGCUAGGUAAGUAUCAAAUUUAAUCAUCAGUGUUCUAAAGCUGCUUUUUAAGGAACCAUGAUUGUGAGACACUAUACAUUAUAUAUAUACACACUAUAUAUAUCUAUAUAUAUGUAUAUAUAUAUAGCAUAUGUAUACAUGUAUACACAUACACUACUUUUAUUUGAUAAUUCAGGUG